GGCGAAUUGCAGGAGAUCCUGGGCAUGUUCCACCUGGGGUCUGAGGAGGCCGAGGAAGAGCCGCUCCAACGUCUUCAUCAGGUGUUAAGUAACCUGAUGAAGGUUU